rnacentral:rRNA from 1 species
AUACGUAGGGGGCGAGCGUUGUCCGGAAUUACUGGGCGUAAAGGGUGCGUAGGCGGCUAAUUAAGUUGGAUGUGAAAUACCCGGGCUUAACUUGGGGGGUGCAUUCAAAACUGGUUAGCUAGAGUUCAGGAGAGGGAAGCGGAAUUCCUAGUGUAGCGGUGAAAUGCGUAGAUAUUAGGAGGAACACCAGUGGCGAAGGCGGCUUUCUGGACUGACACUGACGCUGAUGCACGAAAGCGUGGGGAGC